rnacentral:rRNA from 1 species
UACGGAGGGUGCAAGCGUUAUCCGGAUUCACUGGGUUUAAAGGGUGCGUAGGCGGGCAGGUAAGUCCGUGGUGAAAUCUCUGAGCUUAACUCAGAAACUGCAAUGGAUACUAUUUGUCUUGAAUAUUGUGGAGGUAAGCGGAAUAUGUCAUGUAGCGGUGAAAUGCUUAGAUAUGACAUAGAACACCAAUUGCGAAGGCAGCUUACUACACAGUCAUUGACGCUGAGGCACGAAAGCGUGGGGAUCAAACAGG